rnacentral:rRNA from 1 species
GACGUAGGGCGCGAGCGUUGUCCGGAUUUAUUGGGCGUAAAGAGCUCGUAGGCGGCUUGUUGCGUCGGCUGUGAAAUCCCGUGGCUUAACUGCGGGCUUGCAGCUGAUACGGGCGGGCUGGAGUUCGGUAGGGGAGACUGGAAUUCCUGGUGUAGCGGUGAAAUGCGCAGAUAUCAGGAGGAACACCAGUGGCGAAGGCGACUGACCUGGCCUGUUCUUGACGCUGAGGCGCGAAAGCUAGGGGAGCAAACGGG